rnacentral:rRNA from 1 species
AUACGGAGGGUCCAAGCGUUAUCCGGAUUUAUUGGGUUUAAAGGGUGCGUAGGCGGCCGAUUAAGUUAGAGGUGAAAUCCCGUGGCUCAACCACGGAACUGCCUCUGAUACUGGUUGGCUAGAAAAUGGUUGCUGUGGGCGGAAUGUGUAGUGUAGCGGUGAAAUGCUUAGAGAUUACACAGAACACCGAUUGCGAAGGCAGCUCACAAAACCAAUUUUGACGCUGAGGCACGAAAGCGUGGGGAGCAAACAGGAUUAGAUACCCUGGUAGUCCACGCCGUAAACGAUGAUAACUCGCUGCUGGCGAUACAAUGUCAGUGGCUUAGCGAAAGCGUUAAGUUAUCCACCUGGGGAGUAUGUUCGCAAGAAUGAAACUUAAAGGAAUUGACGGGG